rnacentral:lncRNA from 1 species
UAUCAUUUUAUUUAUUAUCUUCAAUUCCAAUUAUAUUGUAUUAGAUUGUGUUAUCUUGCAUUCCAAUAUCAUUUUUAUUGUAAAUUAGCUUUUCCUCCUCAGAUCGUUGCUGCUGUUUUGUAUUUAGGUCCAUCUCCCUACCCUUUCUCGUUUCCAGGAGCAUGUGUCCAUGGGUCCCCCAGCUGCAUUAGUCAUGGAACCGGGCCAAACCAGCCCAUAAACCGCUGACACCCUAGUUAAAUGGAAUCAGAACAAAUAAUGAGAAGCCAAGAAGCUGAGUUUGGUAUCUAUGCAGAUAGAAGAGUAUGUCAUCCUCUAUCUUCAGCCCCCGUGAGAACAGGACAUGGCUGUAAGCUGUCUUGAGCUCAAGAAGAUUUUGUAAAUGCCAACAAGGUUUUCCUAACUGAAGAGUCUGACAAAUGCACACAGUGAGAGACUGGGUCCCUCAACCACUGUUAGCUGUCAAAAAAGAACAAAACGUUCCCAAAUAGAAACUGCUUGGACUGAGCGGAUGGCUGCAGUAACAGCAGCCAGGAAACAAAGAACUCUGUUCCAAUAAUCAGAAGUGACCAUGUAACAAGAGAAACAGAAUUGUGCAUAAACUCAGAGGGUACUUUGAGAUUAUGUCAACAGUUGGCUAAUUUAUUACAUACUUUUUUUUUUCAGUAUCAAUGUGACUGUAGAAGUAGCUAUAUUAAAUAAUUC